CUUACAAGGAUGACAAGCACAACGAGCACCGGGAGAGGAAGAGGGGGUUCCUAUGUUGUGUUUUGCAUCGCCUCCACCAACCCCCUGCGCUUCUUCUUCCACUCCGGCAUAGGUAAGCCCCUCUCCGCUCUGCUCUCUCAUGCGCGUGCUUGUGUGCAAUGCCACUGAACCGUGGUGAAUCUCAUGCUGGCCAUCGUGCCAUGGCAAAGUUCUCUGGUUUUUGGCUAUCGUGAUAUACAUGAGUCUCGUGCUGUGUGUGAUGCCUUUCUCUUGAUUGUUUGAUUCCUAGGGCUAGGUCAAUGCCCAUGACACUUGCAUCCAACCGCAAGAGCACAACAUCAGCAUCCCUACAGAUGUGAAGAUGCCCAUCUCCAAUGGUUUCUACCGCCAUAUCUACAACCCCGACUAGAUUUAUCAAUGUAUGGGAUCUCUCCUUAUCCAGCGGUCAGUCCGACAUCUGGCAUAUAGGGCGACAUCAGCAUCCCUACAGAUGUGAAGCUGCCCAUCCUUAAUGGUUUCUACUGCCAUAUCUACAACCCUGACUGAAUUUAUCAAUGUAUGGGAUAUCACCUUAUCUGGUGCUCACUCUAACGCCUCCGGCAUAGAGGAUGACAUCAGCAUCCCUAGAGAUGUGAAGCAGCCCAUCCUUAAUGGUUUCUACUGCCAUAUCUACAACCCCG